rnacentral:rRNA from 1 species
UACGUAGGGUCCGAGCGUUGUCCGGAAUUAUUGGGCGUAAAGAGCUCGUAGGCGGUCCGUUAAGUCGGAAGUGAAAUCUCAAGGCUCAACCUUGAAAUCGCUUUCGAUACUGGCGGACUUGAGGCAGGUAGGGGAAGGUGGAAUUCCUGGUGUAGCGGUGAAAUGCGCAGAUAUCGGGAGGAACACCAGUGGCGAAGGCGGCACUCUGGGCCGGAACUGACGCUGAGGAGCGAAAGCGUGGGGAGCGAACAGG